AGUAAUUUUGUUUGGAUCCAUUUUAUCAACUGUGGCGACUGUCCACUGAAAUACUAGUUCUCAUUCUCAUUCCAUGAAUUGUUCAGGUAAGCAUCUACUCGUAUAUACUUAUACUCCUCAUAACCGUAAAUCAGCGAUGGCUGCAUCCGGCGGUGCCAAAACCCUAACGUCCUCCUCUUCUUCCGCCGAAUCAGUCUCUCAGUUCUGGUCAACUCUGCCACUGCGUUCAAGCUCUCAAUUUCUUCAAGGACAAAUAGUCCGAUCGUUAUUCAGUUUUCAAAAGGAGCUGUCGAUUUUGCAGGUUUUUUAUUCGUUUAUUGUGUUUUUGUGCUCCAGGUGGAUUUGAUUGACAUUCGUUAGGGUUUACUCGUUCGAAUUCGUAUAAUCUAUGUUGCUUUUGAUCGAUUUUGUAGUUUUUUGUUCGUUUAUUUGGUGUUUUUGUGCCCUAGUUGUUUAACAUGUAAUCCAAUGUAGUUCGAUAUAGUUGUUUUGAUUGUUUGAUUUUGUACACAAGGUGUGCCUCUUUAGCACACUAAAGGAUAUAUGUUUGUUUUGAUUGUUUGAUUUUGCACGUAAGGUGUUCGACGUUUUGCUUCUAACAAGUUAACGGAUGAUUGUUUGAUUUUGCACUUAAGGUGUUUGACGUUUUGCCUCUAACAAGUUAAUGGAUGAUUGUUUGUUUUGAUUGUUUGAUUUUGCACAUAAGUUGUUUAGCGUUUUGGCUCUAACAAGUUAAUGGAUGGUUGUUUGUUUUGUCUGUUUGAUCUUGCACACAAGGUGUUCGACAUUUUGCUAUUAUAUAACUGAUAAACAGGAUGUGAAGUAAUGAAGUACAGCUCAUCUGUUGCUAGUUUCCUUUUGCAAAAGGAAUUGGACUACCUUGAUGGAGCAGUUUCAAACCCAACGAGCUUAUAUGGCAGGGCAUAAGUGUGCAUUACAGGCGUAUCUUCAUUGGCAUGUAUAAUCUCCCCAUUGAUUUUCAGUCCUUUCUAACAGAUAACAGAUAAGCUGAGGGGAGGGAUCUCUCUUUAGAACCGCCAAGACUUGCUGUAUCGGGUGAGUCGAGAUAGAAACAGAGAUCUCACAAUCACUGUUCGGUAGUUGAGAACGUUGAUUUGGAGGACUUGAAUUAGAAGGGAAUGUACAAGAAAAAAAAUCGGCAUGGGUUGACGAUAGGGCACAUGAGACUUGGGUAAAAUAUGAGGGAUAUCUUUUGGAGAAGUAUGGGGAGGAGGAAAGUAGCCAACACUGAAAACUUGACAAAGAAUUGUGGUACCGAGCUUUUGGGGGAAAGAAGAGAGGUAAAGUAUAUGGGAAGCAAUCUUAAGAAUGAUUUUAACGUUCAGCAUCAUGGCAGACAAGACCAAGAGAUUGAAAUGUUGAACGUGAUUAUUGCGGGAUUGGUGGUGGAAAACGAGAAAGAUAACACGGAGAAAGAGGCUAUGAAUGAAAGGAUGGCAAACGUUGAAGCGAUGCUAAAAGCUAGGUUUCAAAACGUAUAAUCAUUGACUUAGGUUUCAAAACGUAUAAACACUUUGUUUUGAAUAUGUAUUUUGUUAUGAUAACUUUGGUAUUUGAUGUUUCAAGUGGGAUGUUUUAUAUAAUUGUGAAAAUUUGAUAAUAUGUAAAAUUUAAAAUUGA